AAAGAACUAGUUAAAGUAUAACGUAGAUUUGUCAAGUCUGUAUUACCUUGUGGUGUUCUUUU
rnacentral:tRNA from 1 species